rnacentral:lncRNA from 1 species
GGAAGGCCUGGAGAUGGUAACCGCGGCGUGGCGACGGAGGUGGCGCUGCAUGUGCAGCCUCGCCGUGCGCGGUGAGUGAUAGAAGGGGAAGGACAGGGAACGAGAGGCGAAAGGGGGAGAUGCCGGUGGUCGCGGUGGCCGGGGUGGCGCGCUUCGCCGGAGCAGGAGGCGGUGAGGGAUGUUGUACGUGUUUGUAAGAUUGAGAGAGAGGGAGAAAUACGAGGAGAGAGAGAGAGAGAGGACUCCGAUUUUCUUUCAAGUGUGGAGACCGAUUGUUUUUUUGUUUUUGGAAUAGGAGACCGAUUGUUGUAUGAAAGAGAGAGAGUGUGUGUGUUUUAACUUUGGGCUUGAUUUUAAUUGUUGGAUUUGGUUUUAUUUAAUAAAGUUGGGCCAUUUUUUUUAUUUGAUACAUGUGAAAAGAACAAUGUUGAUGAAGAAAAAAAAAUGUUUGUUAAAUGUAAUUAAUUUUAUAAAAUCUUGGAUAUUGGUUUGUGUAAGUUUGAGCUUCUUUUUAUUUGAAUAAAUAAUUUAUCAUAAAU